GCCAGGCGUGGUGGUGCACGCCUGUAAUCCCAGCUACUCAGGAGGCUGAGGCAGAAGAAUUGCUUGAACCUGGGAGGCAGAGGUUGCAGUGAGCUGAGAUUGUGCCACUGCACUCCAGCCUGGGUGACAGAACGAGACUCUGUCUCAA
rnacentral:SRP_RNA from 2 species